GAAUAAAUACUAAUUUGUAGAUUCAAGGAUUCAAAUUGCAUUUAGUGAAAAUAAUCUUAAUUUUAUUUUAAUAAGUAUUUAAUAAAGAAAGUUUUGUAUAAGUGAUAGUAGAUAAGUACUGUAAAGGAAAGUUGAAAUAUGUUGAAAAGUUAAUUCUGUAAAAGUAUAUUUUAAAUGUAGUACCUUGUGUUUCAGGGAACUUAAAAUUUUAUCUUGGAAAGUAAGCUUUCCCGAAGUUUGGUGAGCUAAUUCAUUGUAAAUAGUUAACGUGGUAUAGUUAUUAUAAACAAUUUAUUAGAAGUGAAAUUCUAUACGCACCAAUAGGUAUCUGGUUUUUUAGUAAAUAAAUUUAAUUUAGCUUUUAGUAAUAAUUUGAACUAAAUAGUAAAAACAGGAGGGAAAAGCUUCUUGUUUAAUAAUAAACUUUUUAUGAGUAAUUUAAUGUAGUUUAUUUAAUUAGGCUUAAAAUCAGUCAAUUUUUAAUAUCGUUAUAGAUUAUAUAAGAAAUCAUUAAUAUUUAAAAUUACUUUAAUUGUCUACUAAAAAACUUAGUUGAGUAAGUUAUUUAUGGAUAUAAUUAAGUUAUUAGUAAAAUAAUUUGUAAUUAAGAAAUUACUAGGUUUAAUUUGAGUUAUAUCAAACUUUGAAUUGUGCUAAGGAACUCGGCAAUAAUCCUUUCUGCCUGUUUAUCAAAAACAUGUCCAUGUGAAAUGGUUUAUAUGGUCUGGCCUGCCCACUGAUCUAAAAAUUAAAGGGCCGCGGUAUUUUGACCGUGCGAAGGUAGCAUAAUAAUUAGUCUCCUAAUUAGAGGCUUGUAUGAAUGGUCGGACAAGAUGGGAACUGUCUCAGUGCAAAAGAUGGAAAUUGAUAUUUAAGUAAAAAAGCUUAAAUAACAUGGAGGGACGAUAAGACCCUAUAAAGCUUUAUAAUGUAUUUCUGUUAUAUAAAUUAUUAAUUGUUAACUUAUUAAAGGAAUAAUAUUAUUUUACUGGGGCGGUAAAAGUAUAUGUUUAGAAUAACUGCUUUUGUUGUGUUAAACAAUAAUAAUUGAAUAAUAUAUUGAUCCACUAUUAGUGAGCAUAAGGACAAGUUACUUUAGGGAUAACAGCGUAAUUUUUCUUGAGAGUUCUUAUCGAAAGAAAAGUUUGCGACCUCGAUGUUGAAUUAAGGAAGCCUUAAGGUGUAGCAGUUUUAAAGGCAGAUCUGUUCGAUCUUUAAAUCCUUACAUGAUUUGAGUUCAGACCGGCGUAAGCCAGGUUGGUUUCUAUCUUCCAUAUAUUAAGUCAAUUUACUUUAGUACGAAAGGAUUUGGUAAAUCAAAUAUUUUGUUUUGUCUUGAAAGUUAUUAAG
rnacentral:rRNA from 1 species